GAUGAUAAUCAGAGGAAAAAGGUUACAGAAUCUAGUCUGCAGGGGUUACUACAUCUACGUGAUAUUCAAAUUCGUCGCCAAACAGUAAAAAAACUAGCUGAUACUUUCGAUCCGGAAGUUGAGGCAUUUAUUGUGAACAACAAACAGUUAAAGAUACAUCUGGAAGAUGUAGUUAAUAUCAUGGAUCUGCCUUCGGCAGGGGGGAUCCUUGAUAUUAAACUUAGGUAUGCAGACAAGAAGCUUGAGUUCGAAAGAAAACAGAAACAAGCCCAACUGUUCAGAUUAUACGUAGACCCAAAAGAGCAAGCAAUCACCUACAAGGGCCUAGUGCAACAAAUAAGAGAAAGCAAAGGAUCUACGGACGAACACUUCUCGAGGAGAAUUGCUUUGUGUGUAAUUUGUCGACUGCUAUGUCCAAGUACAAAGUCACAAGUCAGUUCAGAAUAUUUGAACCUUAUGUUGGACGAUGGUGAUGUAAAUAAGAUAAAUUGGGCAACCCUGACACUUGAUCACCUGAUUGCGAGCUUGAAGCAGUACAAGAACAAUAAGCAAACAAAUCUUGCUGGCAACCUCGCUCUCUUACAGGUA
rnacentral:rRNA from 1 species